UAGGGAAUCUUCGGCAAUGGGGGAACCCCGACCGAGCAACGCCGCGGGAGUGAAGAAGGUUUUUGGAUCGUAAAGCUCUGUUGUUAAGGAAGAAAGAGUGUGAGAAUGGAAAGUUCAUACCGGGACGGUACUUAACCAGAAAGGGACGGCUAACUACGUGCCAGCAGCCGCGGUAAUACGUAGGUCCCGAGCGUUGUCCGGAUUUAUUGGGCGUAAAGCGAGCGCAGGCGGUUAGAUAAGUCUGAAGUUAAAGGCAGUGGCUCAACCAUUGUAGGCUUUGGAAACUGUUUAACUUGAGUGCAGAAGGGGAGAGUGGAAUUCCAUGUGUAGCGGUGAAAUGCGUAGAUAUAUGGAGGAACACCGGUGGCGAAAGCGGCUCUCUGGUCUGUAACUGACGCUGAGGCUCGAAAGCGUGGGGAGCGAACAGG
rnacentral:rRNA from 1 species